CAGCAUACGAAUGAAUGUUGUCUUUCCUGUCCCAUUCUCACCCAGCAUCACAAUAAUCUGUGAAUCUGUAAAUUCUCCUUCAACUGCAUGAAGCCUGAAAUUGCCUUGAGUUUUAGUCAUGGUUGGGUAUUUGAAUCGAGCAUAAGUUUGAGCUUCCUCGGCAGUUUUCUGUGGAGUCUCUGCAACCUGGAUAAAAGAUUAGAGCAAGGUUAAUUCGAUAAAGUUUAUUUGUUAUUUCUACCCUUAGUUUUUGGUGGGUUAGCAACCUGUAGGAUUUCUCUGACCCUUUCACGGUUCCCCUGUGUUCUUCUAUUCAUAAACGACUUCUUUUACUUCAAAACAUAUUCAAAUCAUCAAUAAUUAUAUUUUCAAGUUCUACUUCUACAUCCAUCGUUGAUGUUCCAAACGAAGCAGGAUAAUACAUAAUCAAGAUUCCCACAAUUCCCUCAAAUCGUUCCACAGCUUCCUUUUUACUUUCAUUUUUUAAUAAUGAGAAACAAGCUGCGAGAAGAGGGUUAUAGAGCUUUGAUGGGUUAAAGGGUUCUUUGAGGGAGAAAUCAAGGAACUUGGCAGAUUUCGUUGCUCCUCAAGGUUGUGUCAUACUACCAUAGAAGAUGCUCAUGAGAUCUGAAACUUUCUAGAAACAUACAAUUCAUGAACUCACCCAACAAAUUGUUUAACAAAUGAUUAGAAAUCCAUAAAAAGGGUUGAUUUAACAAGUAUUCAGACAUAGUGAAAGAUGCAAUCAAUGGUCAUGUUCCAUGGAAGCAGUCAUGUAGAUGACGUGAACGAAGAAGUAAAGCACAACCUCAUUACUCCAAAAAAAAAUUACUUUUUUUUUAAUUUUCAAGUAUAUAUAGCAUUUUUUAAUAUAUAUUUAGUUCAAUGAUAUAUACCUUAUCAUGCGGGUAUCAAGUGUCGGACAAACAAAUGAUAUGAUAAAAUAAUGUUAUCGUAUUUAUUAUCAUGUUUUCACCAAACAAAGGAUAGAGUAAUGUUUAUCUUGUAACUAUCCUAUCUUUUUUUUUUUUGGUCAAGUACCCUAGUGGCUAGAAUUCAAUUAAUAUUUUGUUUGAAGUAAAAUGUAUUACAUUAAAGAGAUAUAAAUAGAUCAAUCACAACAAAUCCAAGUUUAAAAAAAAAAAAUCAACACAGGUUGAGCUUUUAACUUAUUUCCGUUACAUAAUUUGAAAAAAAUCCAGCUGACAUCACCAACAAAGAUUGGGCAUCUCAAAAGUGAGGAAAGUACAACAUCUCAACCAUAGAAAAAAUAAACAGCAGUUGAUGAACAUUCAUAGCAAAUCACAGCAGAUCAUAGAUUGUCAUCAAUCUAAAGUAAAUAACUCACUCUGAAAGAGCAAAAUUCCACUGGUAUAUAGGAAACUAAGAUUGUAUUCAAGAAUGUAGAAGGGAAAGAAAAGACAGGGCAGACACAAGAACUAAGGUGCACAAGCAAUCCCAAGGAUGAAACAUAAAAUACCUUUCCAAGACAAAGGCAUAAGGCUACUCUUUGCAACUCUCCUCCAGAAAGAUUCUUAACGUCUUUGUCCAUCAACUGUUCAAUAAGUAGUGGCUUCAUCACUUCUGAUAUAAACAGGGGAUGAGUAUAUACAUUACGGAUUUUUUGAUGUAGCAAGUGUCUAACAGCUAAUCGGGAUUUUGGGCUAAUUUUCUGAGGUUUGUAUGAUACGUUGAACUUGGGCAUCUCCACAUCAGAUCCACCUUCUAUAGUAUCGGGUUUCAACAAACCAGCCUGAAUAAAAGAAGAGGGUGAAUAAAUAUAUGAAGAAUUAUGCAGUUUGAUAAAGAAAUAAUAAGACUAAAAGAAUACCAGCAUACGAAUGAAUGUUGUCUUUCCUGUCCCAUUCUCGCCCAGCAUCACAAUAAUCUGUGAAUCUGUAAAUUCUCCUUCAACUGCAUGAAGCCUGAAAUUGCCUUGAGUUUUGGUCAUGGUUGGGUAUUUGAAUCGAGCAUAAGUUUGAGCUUCCUCAGCAGUUUCCUGUGGAUUCUCUGCAACCUGGACAACACAUUAGAGCAAGGUUAAUUCGAUAAAGUUU
rnacentral:lncRNA from 1 species